ensembl:lncRNA
ACGAGUGGCUUAUAUUUUCAGUCCAAAGGACCUGAGAAGAUGGAGGAGUUGGCUGUUUGGUUUUACAAUCACACCGGAACGUUCCAACGUAACUUCCAACGUCACACUCUGAACACCACCCUUUGUCAAAACACGUUAUAUAGGACUUUGGUCACAAUGAGUGAUCUUCUCAGUGUCCUCGUUGGAACACCAUUGAUUGCAAAACUGCUGUGGACUGCCUUUCACUCAAAGAAGACAGACGUCCUCAAUAUAAAUUUAGCAAUUUUCCAUUGCCUACAAUACCUGCUGUCCCUGGUAGACCUUUGUCUCGUUUUUUACAACGUGUGGAAACAUUUACAACUGGUUCAGUUUUUGUCUGUGUAUGUAGUCAUCGGAGGGCCCAUGAAUCUAUCCUUCAUCUGUUUGGAGUGGUACAUCGCGGUGAUCCAUCCCACCUUCUACCCACUCUUGAAAAAGUACAGAUGCAGGGAAGUUUGUGCGCUGUCGGUGUGGCUUUUGGCGGUGCCUCCUGCCCUAAUCAAAGUUCUUUAUGCAGAACACGCCCAGAACAAUCGAAAGAGAUGGAGAAUACGACUCACAUGUUUUCCAAUGGCAAGGAAUCUGCCGGAAAUAAUGGGACAGUCAUUUGCGCGGGCAAAAUAUAUGAGACUUAUCUCGCAAUAACUGACAUUCUUAUUAUUUUGAUUGGACAACCUGUGAUUGCAAAACUGCUGUGGACCGCCUUUCACUCAAAGAAGAAUGAUAUCCUCAAAAUCAAUUUGGCUCUCUUCCACAACAUCCAAUACCUGCUAACCACUUUACACGUGUGUAUCAUUUAUUUAAACAAGGAACUCAAUUCACAAAUUGUUUCUUUCAUAACUGUGUAUCCUCUCAUAGGAGGGCCGAUGAAUUUAUCCUUCAUCUGUUUGGAGCGGUACAUUGCUGUGAUCUAUCCCACCUUCUACCCACUGUUGAAAAAGUACAAAUCUAGGGAGGGUUGUGCUCUGUCAAUGUGGUUUGUAGUGCUGCCCACUGCCACGAUUAAAGCUUUAUCGGAUAGAUUGAAUAUCGUAAGUAAUAAAAUAGACUUCAUUGCGUACACCAUACUGUGACUCAUGGGGAUAGUAAUGGCUUGGGUCAACAUCGCCAUUCUGAAGGCCCUCAGAACUUCGGGGCCUGCGACUGAUAAAUUACAUCUUGUCAAAAAGCGAGCAUCUCAAACUGUGUGUGGCAUUGGGUUAAUUGCAAUGAUAUGUUACAUUCCAGUGGGUGUGUGUGUUUUAUUUGCAUUUAUUAAAAGACCCGAUUCAAUUUGUUUAGUAGUUCCAGCCCUCAUAUUACUGGUGUCUGUUGCUAGUGUUGCGCAUCCCAUAUUUUACCUGUCAACUACAGGGAACCUGCCUUGCCGAAGAUCGUCACCACCUCAGUAGCAACACUGCUUACUUCUAAUGAUAUAUUCUCUAUAAAGAGCCGAGCAUACUGAUCCUUUCAAAGACUAUUCAUGUACAAUUCAUUCAUAGCUUAUAGGUUUAAACCUUAACAUUGGCAAAUUUAGAGAACCAAUGGAAGCGGUCAUGUGAGUAUUUUUGUUUUGUAUAAUAUUAUAAUAUCACGUAGGCCUAUGCCCAAAUGUCCCAAAAUGCGUAAUGUGAAAGAGCUAAAAAGUGUUGUGUGGGUAAGAUAUAUAACAUAAUAUGUAACAUCUCUGCAUUAAAAUAUCAGAAAA